AACGAACGCUGGCGGCAUGCCUAACACAUGCAAGUCGAACGAGACCUUCGGGUCUAGUGGCGCACGGGUGCGUAACGCGUGGGAACCUGCCCUUAGGUUCGGAAUAACUCCCCGAAAGGGGUGCUAAUACCGGAUAAUGUCUUCGGACCAAAGAUUUAUCGCCUUUGGAUGGGCCCGCGUUGGAUUAGCUAGUUGGUAGGGUAAAAGCCUACCAAGGCGACGAUCCAUAGCUGGUCUGAGAGGAUGCUCAGCCACACUGGGACUGAGACACGGCCCAGACUCCUACGGGAGGCAGCAGUGGGGAAUAUUGGACAAUGGGCGAAAGCCUGAUCCAGCAAUGCCGCGUGAGUGAUGAAGACCUUAGGGUUGUAAAGCUCUUUUACCAGGGAUGAUAAUGACAGUACCGGGAGAAUAAGCUCCGGCUAACUCCGUG
rnacentral:rRNA from 1 species